GUCCACGCCAUAAACGAAUGACAACUAGACGUUGGGGACGAUAUGGUCCACAGUGUCGCAGCUAACGCGUUAAGUUGUCCGCCUGGGGAGGUACGGCCGCAAGGUUGAAACUCAAAGGAAUUGACGGGGACCCCGGCCACAAGCGGUGGAGCAUGUGGUUUAAUUUCGAUGCAACGCGAAGAACCUUACCUGGUCUUGACAUCCACGGAAUCCCGAAGAGAUUUGGGAGUGCCGCAAGGAACCGUGAGACAGGUGCUGCAUGGCUGUCGU
rnacentral:rRNA from 1 species